AUAUGCUUAGAUUGGUAGAACACAUUGGAAUUGAAAUUGGAAUGUUACCAAGAAGAUUAGCAUGGCCCCUGUGCAAAGAUGACAUAAAAAUUCAUGAAGCG
rfam:Erinaceus europaeus unplaced genomic scaffold scaffold00031, whole genome shotgun sequence